UGGCCCCAUGGACGCCAACCUGCGCUACUGGAGGGCGGAGGGGCAGUCGUUCUUCCAGAGAUUUCUCCUCUGGGCGGAUGCCUUGGAUCCGCUGCUGCUCCUCAAGUCCUCGAAUGAAAUAAAAAGAACCAGGUUAUUAAUACAAAGUAAUGAGAAGACCCUAAGUGAGCCCAUACAGAAUAAUCAGACCAAACAAGCCUUCUUGCUAAGCCUGUCCAGUGUACAUCCUGAUACAGACAAGAUAAUUCCUAUUUUGUUUAGACCUCCAGCUUUCAUGCCCAUAACUCUUCCCUUGGUCAUUGUUUCAUCUGUUCAGCGCCAGGCAAAGCAUUCUUUUUUUUGGCAGUUUGUAUUUCACACAUACACCGCAGCUUUUAGUCUGGUAAAUGGAAAUGGCACCCCAAAAGCUGAAGACUACUCUCUUCAGCAAAAGCAGAUCUUUCUUGGCUUGGGAGCUAUUUCCUAUUCAGCCUGUAUUGGUGCUUUGCCUCUUGCCUUCAUGAAUCGUUACACGUUGAAGAGCUCAUUAAUGCAACUUGUUGUCAGAAAACUGCUACCUGCUCCUCUGCUUGGCUUGACAAGUGCAUUUACUGUGGCAAUGGUGAGAAGCCCAGAAUUUGACAAUGGGAUAGAAGUGAUGGACAGGAAUGGCAAGGUUAUAGGAGUGUCUAAGAAGGCUGGUGAGAAGGCUGUUAUUGAAACAGCAUUGUCCAGAGCAGUCUUGUUUGGGACAACGUUCUUCCUGCCAGAAGUGCUCAUGUACUUUGUGCAGAGAGCAAGAUUUGUUAAAAAUCCUCGUGCUUUUGGUCCAGUGAGGAUGUUUGUGAUUAUGUCAGUCCUUGCAGGGAUGCUGCCAGUCUCAUUUAGUAUGUUCCCACAGUGUGGGGAGGUAAGUCCUUUCACAGGAAUUGAUUUAAGAUUAUUGUGACAUUAAAUCAGCCUUUCAAAACUAUGGCCAGCAGUCUGAAGGCCACAUAUAAAAAAAUCAACAGGAUUAAUGUGAUACAUCUAAAAUGAGGCAGCAGAGAGGAUACCUGUGAAGGCCCAUGUACCAGGCAGAGGCUCACAGGAGGCUUUUGAGGUCUGAAUUGCAUUGUGUGUUAUUUAUAUUUAUACUUUUCAAUGUAGAUUUAUCAGACUUUCACAACAGUCUGAAGCAAGGAAGGUCAGGAGAACUCUGUUGAAGAUUUAAGCCAAGACUCUUCCAGCACUGUAUUCAGUCCUGCAGGAGAAAGGAAAAAUGUAGAUGAGAAUUUUUUCUCUCAUGUAAAGUCAGCAUGAGCUCACUGGAGAGAUUUCUUAAUCUCUUAUGACAACGAAGCAAACUGAACAUAAAUGAGGGGACUUAUGAGGAAUUAUGUACUGAGAUUAGAGCUGGUUGAUGCCCUUUGGGUUUCCCAAUGGCUCAGCCCACAGCAGAAGUUCUCCUGUGUGUCACCCAAAUACAUUUACAGAUGGAUUUGGUGGUCUUAAAGAUCUUUUGACACCUAAAUGAUUCUGUGAUUCUAUAGUGAACAGAGAUAACGUCACUAUUUUAAUAAAGCGAGCAGACCUUGAACC